AUGAACGCUGGCGGCGUGCCUAAUCCCUGCAAGUCGAGCGAACAGACGAGGAGCUUGCUCCUCUGACGUUAGCGGCGGACGGGUGAGUAACACGUGGAUAACCUACCUAUAAGACUGGGAUAACUUCGGGAAACCGGAGCUAAUACCGGAUGAUAUAUUGAACCGCAUGGUUCAAUAGUGAAAGACGGUUUUGCUGUCACUUAUAGAUGGAUCCGCGCCGCAUUAGCUAGUUGGUAAGGUAACGGCUUACCAAGGCAACGAUGCGUAGCCGACCUGAGAGGGUGAUCGGCCACACUGGAACUGAGACACGGUCCAGACUCCUACGGGAGGCAGCAGUAGGGAAUCUUCCGCAAUGGGCGAAAGCCUGACGGAGCAACGCCGCGUGAGUGAUGAAGGUCUUCGGAUCGUAAAACUCUGUUAUUAGGGAAGAACAAAUGUGUAAGUAACUAUGCACGUCUUGACGGUACCUAAUCAGAAAGCCACGGCUAACUACGUG
rnacentral:rRNA from 1 species